rnacentral:lncRNA from 1 species
CAAGGCUGGUCCCUGCCCUGGGCUCCACACUUCAGAGGGCCCUGGGCUCCACACUUCAGAGGGCCCUGGGCUCCACACUUCAGAGGGCCCUGGGUAUGACAAAACUAUGAAAAAAAAGAUCCUUAGGAAUGACUACAGUCAAAAUCACAAAAGAAGUAGAAAAUGUAAAAGUAACCCCAAAAUAGAAAGAAGAAAUAAUCUUCAAAGAGGAUGUUUUCUUAAAUUGUUUAAACUCACAACUAAAUUGAACAAAUGUAUGUUAAGCAUAAUCUACAUAAGAUUUAUGAAUAAGAUAUUACAAAUUCUAUAUACACUGAGGUUUUACUUACUGUUAAAAACAAUGGAAAUGUACAAGAAAUUGUCCCAGUCAAAUCCACGACUUGUAUGCCCCUGAUGAAAUUCCUGCAACUAAGAAAAUUCAAUAAUUCACAUUUUAAAAUAUGAAUAUUUCUUAUCAAAUGAAGAUUUAAUUACUUAUCAAAACAAAGAAGAUUUGAAAAGAUAUUCAUAUCAAAAUCACAACCCAAAAACAUCAAAUGCAUCUCUGCAUUUCCCUUUAAAAGAUGCAAAAAAAAUGACAUUCAUGCAUUAUAAGUUGAAUGAGAAAGACAGAACCUCUGGAACUUUACUGUUUAUUAGAUGAUGAUCCUAGAAAACAGUCCAUGUGAACUUUCUGACAGUGUGAGAAUGUUUCUUGCAAAAUACACUCUGCAGCAAAUAAACGAUUUUGAUUUUU